GAUGAACGCUAGCGGCAGGCCUAAUACAUGCAAGUCGGACGGGAUCAAUCGGUAGCUUGCUGACCAUGGUGAGAGUGGCGCGUGGGUGCGUAACGCGUGCGCAACCUGCCUCCAUAAGGGGGCUAGCCUCUCGCAAGAGCGACUAACACCGCAUAACAUAUCAGACCGGCAUCGAUCGGAUAUCACAUAUUUAUAGGAUGGAGAUGGGCUCGCGUGACAUUAGCUUGUUGGUGGGGUAACGGCCCACCAAGGCGACGAUGUCUAGGGGCUCGGAGAGGAGAAUCCCCCAGACUUGUAACGAGGCCCGGACCAGACUGCGACGGGGCGCAGCAGUAAGGAAGAUUGGUCAAUGGGCGGAAGUCUAAACCAGCCAUGCCGCGUGCAGGAUGACUGGGCUUGGGGUUGUAAACUGCUUGGGUCGAAGAAUAAACGGCCAUACGUGGAGGGUGCUGAAGGUACCGGAAGAAUAAGCAUCGGCUAACUCCGUG
rnacentral:rRNA from 1 species